rnacentral:rRNA from 1 species
UACAGAGGGUGCGAGCGUUGUCCGGAAUCACUGGGCGUAAAGGGCGCGUAGGUGGCGACCCAAGUCGAUGGUGAAAGCUCGCCGCUCAACGGCGAGUCGGCCACCGAUACUGGGUUGCUCGAGCACUGGUAGAGGCUCAUGGAAAUUCCGGGUGUAGCGGUGGAAUGCGUAGAGAUCCGGAAGAACACCGGUGGCGAAGGCGGUGAGCUGGGCAGUUGCUGACACUGAGGCGCGGACAGCGGUGGGGAGCAAACAGG